CUUACACAUGCAGUUGAACGGCAGCGCGGGUAGUAAUACCUGGCGGCGAGUGGCAAACGGGUGCGGAACACGUACGCAACAUACCCUUGUCUGGGGCAUAGCCUUCUGAAAAGGAGAUUAACACCCCAUAAGAUAAUAGAGUGGCAUCACUUAGUUAUUAAAAAUUUAUUGGACAGGGAUUGGCGUGCGUCCUAUUAGCUAGUUGGUAGGGUAACGGCCUACCAAGGCGACGAUGGUAGCUGGUGUGAGAGCACGACCAGCCACACGGGCACUGAGACACGGGCCCGACUCCUACGGGAGGCAGCAGUGAGGAAUAUUGGUCAAUGGACGCAAGUCUGAACCAGCCAUGCCGCGUGAAGGAUGAAGGCGUUCUGCGUUGUAAACUUCUUUUACCAGGGAAGAAACCUUCUUUUUCUAAGGAAGCCGACGGUACCUGAGGAAUAAGCACCGGCUAACUCCGUGCCAGCAGCCGCGGUAAUACGGAGGGUGCAAGCGUUAUCCGGAUUUACUGGGUUUAAAGGGUGUGUAGGCGGAUUAUUAAGUCAGCGGUGAAAUCUCCGGGCUCAACCCGGAAACUGCCAUUGAUACUAUUAGUCUUGAAUAUUGUUGAGGUGGGCGGAACGGGUCAUGUAGCGGUGAAAUGCAUAGAUUGACCCGGAACACCGAUUGCGAAGGCAGCCCACUAAGCAAUGAUUGACGCUGAGGCACGAAAGCGUGGGGAUCAAACCAGGAUUAGAUACCC
rnacentral:rRNA from 1 species